GGUGUUUAGCUCAGUGGUAGAGCUCUUGUCUCAUAUGUGUGAGGCACUGGGUUCGAUUCCCAGCACCA
rnacentral:tRNA from 1 species